rnacentral:rRNA from 1 species
UACAGAGGUCUCAAGCGUUGUUCGGAUUCAUUGGGCGUAAAGGGUGUGUAGGCGGCGCGCUAAGUCGGGUGUGAAAUUUCGGAGCUUAACUCCGAAGCUGCAUUCGAUACUGGCGUGCUUGAGGACUGGAGAGGAGACUGGAAUUCAUGGUGUAGCAGUGAAAUGCGUAGAGAUCAUGAGGAAGACCAGUGGCGAAGGCGGUUCUCUGGGCCUGUGCUGACGCUGAGGAGCGAAAGCGUGGGGAGCGAACAGG